CGCGUAGCCCGGACACUUCCGCUGUCCGCUGUUGAACCCGCGGCCUGCGUUUGUCUUAGGGAGGUUUUGCUACAUUAGCUGGAAUACUCUAAAUUUAUGAACCCUUUUGAGAAAAUCUUCCAUUUCCAUCCCGUUUUUC